rnacentral:rRNA from 1 species
UGGGGAAUUUUGGACAAUGGGGGAAACCCUGAUCCAGCCAUCCCGCGUGUGCGAUGAAGGCCUUCGGGUUGUAAAGCACUUGUGGCAGGAAAGAAACGUCAUGGGUUAAUACCCCGUGAAACUGACGGUACCUGCAGAAUAAGCACCGGCUAACUACGUGCCAGCAGCCGCGGUAAUACGUAGGGUGCAAGCGUUAAUCGGAAUUACUGGGCGUAAAGCGUGCGCAGGCGGUUCGGAAAGAAAGAUGUGAAAUCCCAGAGCUCAACUUUGGAACUGCAUUUUUAACUACCGGGCUAGAGUGUGUCAGAGGGAGGUGGAAUUCCGCGUGUAGCAGUGAAAUGCGUAGAUAUGCGGAGGAACACCGAUGGCGAAGGCAGCCUCCUGGGAUAACACUGACGCUCAUGCACGAAAGCGUGGGGAGCAAACAGG